ACUGUCUGAAAAUAAGGCCAAAACGCAGGAGAGACUACAGCCAGUGACCAGGUGAUGAAGGGAAACCAGGUCCUGGAAACACUGUCUGGCAUUUACACCGUGCUGGAGCAUGUGGCUUGUGGGAUUUUAGUUCCCUGACCAGGGAUUGAACUCGAGCCCUCUGCCAUGAAAGGCCAGAGUCCUAACCACUGGGCUGCCAGGGAAUUCCCAGAUUAACCAUUUUUCAUUCAAGAUUCCCAGUCAUAAUAAGCCUGUACUGGGGCUUCUCUGGUGGUCCAGUGGGUAAGAAUCUGCCUGCCAGUGCAGGAGACAUGGGUUCAAUCCCUGGUUCCGGGAGAUCCCACAUGCCAUGGAGCAGCUAAGCCCCGUGAGCCACAACUACGGAGCCCGUGUGCUGUAACUACCAAAGCCCAUGUGCCUAGAGCCUGUACUCCACAAGAAGACAAACCACCGCAAGGAGAAGGCCACGCGCUGCAGCUAGAGAGUACCCCCACUCAGGACAACGAGAGAAAAAGCCUGCCCAGCAGGGAAGACCCAGAACAGCCAAAAAUAAAGAUAAGCAUUUAUUGAAUGGUAGUUCUGGGUAACCGAGCAGCGCUGGGAGAUACAAGGAUGACUUAGUGGGUCUCCACCCUUCCGGGGUUCCUGGCUAGACCAGUGACUCUCAGCCUGGCUGUCUGACAGUCAUCGAGCAAGUUUUAAAAACAUAUAGAUGGCCCCUUCCCAGACCAGUUGAAUAUGACUCUCUGGGGAUGGGACCCAGACAUCAUUUUAUUUUACUUCGUUAUUUUUUUAAACUGUAUGAUCUCACCUGUAUGUGAAAUCUUAAAAAAAAAAAAAAGAAACCCGACUCACAGUCAGAGAGAAGAGACUGGCGGUUGCCAGAGGCAGAGGGUGUGGGGGUGGGAGAAAUGGGUAAAGAGGUCAGAAGGUAC